rnacentral:rRNA from 1 species
CCUACGGGAGGCUGCAGUGGGGAAUAUUGGACAAUGGGCGAAAGCCUGAUCCAGCCAUGCCGCGUGUGUGAAGAAGGCCUUCGGGUUGUAAAGCACUUUCAGUGGGGAAGAAAGCCUUGAGGCUAAUACCCUCGAGGAAGGACAUCACCCACAGAAGAAGCACCGGCUAACUCCGUGCCAGCAGCCGCGGUAAUACGGAGGGUGCGAGCGUUAAUCGGAAUUACUGGGCGUAAAGCGCGCGUAGGCGGUCUGAUAAGCCGGUUGUGAAAGCCCCGGGCUCAACCUGGGAACGGCAUCCGGAACUGUCAGGCUAGAGUGCAGGAGAGGAAGGUAGAAUUCCCGGUGUAGCGGUGAAAUGCGUAGAGAUCGGGAGGAAUACCAGUGGCGAAGGCGGCCUUCUGGACUGACACUGACGCUGAGGUGCGAAAGCGUGGGUAGCAAACAGGAUUAGAUACCCCAGUAGUC